CGAGGCUCAGUCGGUAUGAGCCGACAUAGCAAAGCAAAAUUGAUGAUCAACCGGACAGAGUUCGGAGCUACCUGAGCAGAACAGAGAUCGUAAUAGUCAAAAAGAUUCUGGACGAACUUCGAAAUCAAAAAUCGAAGACUGGCCCGAAGAUCUUCGAUAUAAAAUACGACCUGACCCGGAGGAAGAAAAUUAACCCGACCGUCCACAUC
rnacentral:lncRNA from 1 species